CGGGUACCAUUGCUAGAUGGUCACUUUGAUUAGUACAGAAAUUGGUUCCUGUGCUACCGGCUUAGGUUCGAACCUGCAGGGUCACACACAUUAGAGGUUCCUAUCUGAUCUGAUGGCUGAUGAAGAGUCCUAAUACUCAUGGACUAUGAGUCCUACAUGUUGGGAAUAGUGUCCCAAAGCCAAUCAUCAGCCUAUUGAUGAUUGUGCUCAUUCUUGUAUUGUACAUGAAUUAUGAAUUAAUAAAAAUUAUUUUGACUUUUU
rnacentral:lncRNA from 1 species